CCGAACCUGGGUGAUCUAUCCAUGACCAGGAUGAAGCUUGGAUGAAACUAAGCAGAGGUCCGAACCGACUGAUGUUGAAGAAUCAGCGGAUGAGUUGUGGUUAGGGGUGAAAUGCCACUCGAACCCAGAGCUAGCUGGUUCUCCCCGAAACGCGUUGAGGCGCAGCAGUUGACUGGACAUCUAGGGGUAAAGCACUGUUUCGGUGCGGGCUGCGCGAGCGGUACCAAAUCGAGGCAAACUCUGAAUACUAGAUAUGACCCAAAAAUAACAGGGGUCAAGGUCGGCCAGUGAGACGAUGGGGGA
rnacentral:ncRNA from 1 species